rnacentral:rRNA from 1 species
GUGGGGAAUUUUGGACAAUGGGCGCAAGCCUGAUCCAGCAAUGCCGCGUGCAGGAAGAAGGCCUUCGGGUUGUAAACUGCUUUUGUACGGAACGAAACGGUCCGGGUUAAUACCCUGGGCUAAUGACGGUACCGUAAGAAUAAGCACCGGCUAACUUCGUGCCAGCAGCCGCGGUAAUACGAAGGGUGCAAGCGUUAAUCGGAAUUACUGGGCGUAAAGCGCGCGUAGGUGGUUUUGUAAGUUGGAGGUGAAAUCCCCGGGCUCAACCUGGGAACUGCCUCCAAAACUGCAUGACUAGAGUACGGUAGAGGGUAGUGGAAUUUCCGGUGUAGCGGUGAAAUGCGUAGAUAUAGGAAGGAACACCAGUGGCGAAGGCGGCCAUCUGGACCAGCACUGACACUGAGGCACGAAAGCGUGGGGAGCAAACAGGAUUAGAAACCCUUGUAGUCC